CGCCUCUAGAGGCACACCACUAUGUUUUAAGUCUCAGGACUUUGCCAAGUUCAGCUAUUCAUGAUGCAGUUGUAUUUUGCUAUUUUGUUUGCAUCUUUACAAUGGCCUGCCACUAUGUGUCUUCAGGUAAACCAAAUCCCAUUGGAGCGUAUUCUUCAACCAGGUGAACCACUGAAGGUUGUCUGCUCCAUCACAGGCACUGAUAACCCCAACCUCUACUGGUACCGUUGGACCCUGACAGAUGGUUUCAAGUUGAUGUUCAGUUCUCUUGGUGUAGGAAAUGUGGAUCCAGAAAACUUGGGGGAUUUAUCAUCUAACAGACCAGGGCCUCUUCAGAUAGUACUGGAGUCCAAAAGUGUAACCGAUGUUGGUUCUGUUGUUUGGUUCUGUGCAGCCAGUCCCCACAGUAUAACAGACCACAGUGAAAGCUGUACAAAAACACUCAGGGACGAAAACUGCUUUUCAAGCUGAUUUGAAGGCUAGAUCAGUUCAUUUGAGGCCAUGUUAGAAGCUGCUUCAUUGAAAGAGGUGUGAAAAAGAUGUGUAAAAUGUAACCCUUGUGUUGAGAUUGAGUUUACUGUUUUUAUAUAAGUAUAUAAAUAUGAUGCAUCAUAUAAUAAGUGCUGUUAAUUAUGUUCAUUGUCUGAUUACAUCUUUAAUUGAUUUUACCAUACAUUUCUGCCAUAUGUACAUAAACUGACAGUCACCACUGAUAAGCUACUUCUAAAUAUAUUGUAGAAACUUAAUUUUUUGUAAAGUUGCUUUGCAACAAUUUGUAUCGUGAAAAGCACUAUACAAAUAACCUUGAAUUGAAUUGAACUGAAUUAUAUUUGGAGUCUCAGAGACCCUAUUGAUUUUUGGGUAAAAACAAUCAGUUCUCCUUACAAUGAGAUAAAAGGGAUGAACGCAUCUCUAAAAUGUUAAGAAUGUUUUUUGACAUAUUACAUGGAGCUUUUCCUUGUUAUUAAAGAGCACAAUAACAGAAUUAGAUUUUUGAUUUGCAUUGCUUUAUAUCAUUUACUGGAAAAACUAACAACGUUUUAAUGUGUUUCAGAUUACUCAGACUGAGCAACUGAUUCAUGAUGAAUGCAUUCAACUUGUUCCAGAAAAACAGUACAGAUGUGGGGGUGUGUGGUGCAGACUGUUGAU